rnacentral:rRNA from 1 species
UAGGGAAUCUUCCACAAUGGACGCAAGUCUGAUGGAGCAACGCCGCGUGAGUGAAGAAGGUUUUCGGACCGUAAAGCUCUGUUGUUGGUGAAGAAGGAUAGAGGUAGUAACUGGCCUUUAUUUGACGGUAAUCAACCAGAAAGUCACGGCUAACUACGUGCCAGCAGCCGCGGUAAUACGUAGGUGGCAAGCGUUGUCCGGAUUUAUUGGGCGUAAAGCGAGCGCAGGCGGAAGAAUAAGUCUGAUGUGAAAGCCCUCGGCUUAACCGAGGAAUUGCAUCGGAAACUGUUUUCUUGAGUGCAGAAGAGGAGAGUAGAACUCCAUGUGUAGCGGUGGAAUGCGUAGAUAUAUGGAAGAAUACCAGUGGCGAAGGCGGCUCUCUGGUCUGCAACUGACGCUGAGGCUCGAAAGCAUGGGUAGCGAACAGGAUUAGAUACCCUGGUAGUCCAUGCCGUAAACGAUGAGUGCUAAGUGUUGGGAGGCUUCCGCCUCUCAGUGCUGCAGCUAACGCAUUAAGCACUCCGCCUGGGGG